AAACUAUAUUUUUCUUGUUUGUGAUAUAAGCGAAAUUUCUCAGGGUAUGUGAAUAGAGCCUCACACUCCCGCAUGACCAAUAGUUCACCGUAAGAAAUAUCGACCUCAUUAGUUGAUUCUGUGUUGAAAAGCUGAAGUUGCUGAAGUGCGCCUGAGAUUGAUUCUUCGCACAUAUCCAUUGUCUUAGCGGGUCCAGCAUGACUCAAGGUGCUGAUAAUUUGAGCAUAAACAUUAUCUAUAGUUUCCUUCGCGGCAAUAAAUUUAUUAAAGUUUGUUUCCAUCAACGAUAAUAACUGAUGAGUUCCAUCGGUGGUUAACCACGAAGAUGAUCGAUGAACUCCCGUACUCGUCUGUUGCAUAGAGUUAUCAGGAGCAUCGCGAUAUGUCCCAGCGAUUUUACGUGUAGCCAUCGGGUUUCUCAUACCUCCAAUAGCUAUUUGAGAUGACAUAGAUGGUUGGACGCUCGUUUGACUACGUUUCAUUGCAAAUGAUGGUGUUACUGGUCCAGCUGCACUAGCAUCUUUGGUAGUUUCGGAUGUAGCGCUAAAAUCGUUAGAGAAAAAUAAAUUCACCAGUUUCUUUGUAAUUAUUUCUAAACAAAAUACUUACCCACCCGUACGAAGUAUGUCUUCUGAACGAUUACGUUCAUGAUGAACACCGGUAGUAGGACUUUGUACAUCUACUGAGGCAUUGGCAAUCGCAAAGUCCGGCUUCUCAGUCCAGUAGUCUUGACUUAAACUUGUCAAACCAUAAUGAGCAAGGAUCUCUUCGUCUGCACUCAUUUUCUGAAAAGAGACCCUUCACCUGUUGUAUUAUGGUAGUUGGCAGAGAACGCAAUGCCACAGUAAUUGGAAUUCAUCAAAGCGAUCGAUUUUUUAAUCCCUUUGGUCCAUAGAUCAUUCUUUUAUACUUUUAAAAUUUCCAAUUAAGCUUAAAUUGCAUGUUCCUAAAUUGAAUCAAGUAGAACAAGUAUUUUUCGAAUUUGUAAAUAUGUACGCAUUUAAGAGAUUCACUAAGUUUGCAAAUCCAAAAAAAAUUCUUAACCGAUUACUGAAGCAUAUGUAUUUGAUAAAUUUGUGGAAUCUGUUAGUUCUGUAAUACUUCUGAGUUGAGCUUUUCAUAAACAAAU